AUGGCUAACCUACCCCGGGGACGGGCAUAGCCUCCCUAACGGGAGGGUAAUUCCCGGCGAUCCGGCGCGAGGGCAUCUUCGUGCCGGGAAACGAAUUUCGCCUCGGGAGGGGGUCAUGUGCUAUUACCUGGUUGGCGGGGUAACGGCCCACCAAGGGGAAGAUGGCUAGCGGGUGUGAGAGCACGACCCGCGCCACUGGCACUGAGACACUGGCCAGACUCCUACGGGAGGCUGCAGUCGAGGAUCUUCGGCAAUGGGCGCAAGCCUGACCGAGCGACGCCGCGUGCGCGAUGAAGGCCUUCGGGUUGUAAAGCGCUGUCGAGGGGGAGGAAAGCCCGCAAGGGCCUGACCUAUCCCUGGAGGAAGCACGGGCUAAGUUCGUGCCAGCAGCCGCGGUAAGACGAACCGUGCGAACGUUGUUCGGAAUCACUGGGCUUAAAGGGCGCGUAGGCGGCUUCGCAAGUCGGGGGUGAAAUCUUUCGGCUCAACCGGAAAAGGGCCUCCGAUACUGCGAAGCUC
rnacentral:rRNA from 1 species